GAGAACCGGAACACAGGUGCUGCAUGGCUGUCGUCAGCUCGUGUCGUGAGAUGUUGGGUUAAGUCCCGCAACGAGCGCAACCCUUGUCAUUAGUUGCCAUCAUUUGGUUGGGCACUCUAAUGAGACUGCCGGUGACAAACCGGAGGAAGGUGGGGAUGACGUCAAGUCCUCAUGGCCCUUAUGGGUAGGGCUUCACACGUCAUACAAUGGUCGGUACAGAGGGUUGCCAACCCGCGAGGGGGAGCUAAUCCCACAAAGCCGAUCGUAGUCCGGAUCGCAGUCUGCAACUCGACUGCGUGAAGUCGGAAUCGCUAGUAAUCGUGGAUCAGCAUGUCACGGUGAAUACGUUCCCGGGUCUU
rnacentral:rRNA from 1 species